rnacentral:misc_RNA from 1 species
GAUGAAGAACGCAGCGAAAUGCGAUAAGUAAUGCGAAUUGCAGAAUCCGUGAGUCAUCGAAUCUUUGAACGCACAUUGCGCCCGCCAGUAUUCUGGCGGGCAUGCCUGUUCGAGCGUCAUUUCAACCAUCAAGCGCCUCGCUUGUGUUGGGGCCCUGCGGCUGCCGCGGGCCCCUAAAUCCAGUGGCGGGCUCGUCGUCGUACCGAGUGCAGUAAACAUCCUCGCUCAGGGAACCCGACGGGUGCCGGCCGUGAAACCCCCCCUCCUCAAGGUUGACCUCGGAUCAGGUAGGAAUACCCGCUGAACUUAAGCAUAUCAAUAAGCGGAGGA